rnacentral:rRNA from 1 species
AUUGAACGCUGGCGGCAGGCCUAACACAUGCAAGUCGAACGAGUGGCGGACGGGUGAGUAAUGUCUGGGAAACUGCCUGAUGGAGGGGGAUAACUACUGGAAACGGUAGCUAAUACCGCAUACCAUCGGAUGUGCCCAGAUGGGAUUAGCUAGUAGGUGGGGUAAUGGCUCACCUAGGCGACGAUCCCUAGCUGGUCUGAGAGGAUGACCAGCCACACUGGGACUGAGACACGGCCCAGACUCCUACGGGAGGCAGCAGUGGGGAAUAUUGCACAAUGGGCGAAAGCCUGAUGCAGCCAUGCCGCGUGUAUGAAGAAGGCCUUAGGGUUGUAAAGUACUUUUAGUAGGGAAGCGGUAUCUGCAGAAGAAGCACCGGCUAACUACGUGCCAGCAGCCGCGGUAAUAC